rnacentral:rRNA from 1 species
ACUUAGUGGCGGACGGGUGAGUAACGCGUGGGUAACCUGCCCUGUACAGGGGGACAACAGCUGGAAACGGCUGCUAAUACCGCAUAAGCCCUUAGCACUGCAUGGUGCAUAGGGAAAAGGAGCAAUCCGGUACAGGAUGGACCCGCGUCUGAUUAGCCAGUUGGCAGGGUAACGGCCUACCAAAGCGACGAUCAGUAGCCGAUCUGAGAGGAUGUACGGCCACAUUGGGACUGAGACACGGCCCAGACUCCUACGGGAGGCAGCAGUGGGGAAUAUUGCACAAUGGAGGAAACUCUGAUGCAGCGACGCCGCGUGAGUGAAGAAGUAUUUCGGUAUGUAAAGCUCUAUCAGCAGGGAAGAAAAUGACGGUACCUGACUAAGAAGCACCGGCUAAAUACGUGCCAGCAGCCGCGGUAAUACGUAUGGUGCAAGCGUUAUCCGGAUUUACUGGGUGUAAAGGGAGCGUAGGUGGCAAGGCAAGCCAGAAGUGAAAACCCGGGGCUCAACCGCGGGAUUGCUUUUGGAACUGUCAUGCUAGAGUGCAGGAGGGGUGAGCGGAAUUCCUAGUGUAGCGGUGAAAUGCGUAGAUAUUAGGAGGAACACCGGAGGCGAAGGCGGCUCACUGGACUGUAACUGACACUG